rnacentral:rRNA from 1 species
GACGAACGCUGGCGGCGGGCUUAACACAUGCAAGUCGAACGGAAAGGCCCUGCUUUUGUGUGGUGCUCGAGUGGCGAACGGGUGAGUAACACGUGAGUAACCUGCCCUGGACUUUGGGAUAACUUCAGGAAACUGGGGCUAAUACCGGAUAGGAGCUCCUGCUGCAUGGUGGUGUUUGGAAAGUUUAGGCGGUGGGGGGUGGACUCGCGGGUUAUCAGCUUGUUGGGUGGGUAGUGGCUUACCAGGGCUUUGACGGGUAGCCUGCACGAGAGGGUGACCAGGCUCAUUGGGACUACGGGAGGGCGCAGACUGCAAUGGUGGGCAGUAGGGGGGAACAUUGCACAAUGGGCGGAAGCGUGAGGAGGAAACCCUGCGUGCGGGAUGAAGGCCUUCGGGGGGGAAACCGCUUUCGCCUGUGACGAAGCGGGAGUGACGGUAAUGGGUAAAGAAGCACCGGCUAACUACGUG